rnacentral:rRNA from 1 species
GUAAGGAAUAUUGGUCAAUGGACGCAAGUCUGAACCAGCCAUGCCGCGUGAAGGACGAAGGCCCUAGUGGUCGUAAACUUCUUUUAUACGGGAAAAAUUCUUGGGUCGUGAAUCCGAGUUGAUGGUACUGUAUGAAUAAGCACCGGCUAACUCCGUGCCAGCAGCCGCGGUAAUACGGAGGGUGCAAGCGUUAUCCGGAUUUAUUGGGUUUAAAGGGUGCGCAGGCGGGGCUAUAAGUCAGUGGUGAAAGCCUACAGCUUAACUGUAGAAUUGCCAUUGAUACUGUAGUCCUUGAGUGCAGCUGAAGAGGGCGGAAUGUGUUGUGUAGCGGUGAAAUGCUUAGAUAUAACACAGAACACCGAUUGCGAAGGCAGCUCUCUAAACUGCAACUGACGCUCAGGCACGAAAGCGUGGGGAUCAAACAGGAUUAGAAACCCCAGUAGUCC